ensembl:lncRNA
GAAGUCAGAUCAUGUCCUUCUGCUUCUCAGAAGCCUUCCAUGGCUCCUGGCUUUAGGGAGAGUGAAAACUCAGGUUCUUAUCGUGGCCCAUGGGUCCUGCACCUCCUUCCUGUGUCUCCUCCACUCCUCUGAUCGCCCCGCUUAGCCCUUAGAGCCCUGAGGACUUUGGUUGUUUCUUGAAAACACCAAACUCAUUGGGACAACUGAACGGCAAUACCCGCUAUGACCUCUCGCCCUCUGGCCUCCCCUUGUUGUCAGACACUGGGUCAGGCACAUCCCCAGAUCCUGUCCCCACCAUCUCUUUUCAGCUGCCUUCUCCUCCUGCCCUGGUAGCCCCUGAACCCGGCAGAGUAGAGCUCCCGGGCCUGGUUGUUGUUGCUGUUCAGUCGCUCAGUUGUGUCCGACUAGUCGCAAUCACAUGGGUGGCAGCGCACCAGGCUUCCCUCCUGUCCUUCACUAUCUCCUGGGGUUGGCUCAAACUCCAUUGAGUCGGUGAUGCCAUCCAACCAUCUCCUCUGUUGCCUGGGCCUGGAACUCAUCAAUUUUGCAAUCUCUGCUUCCUCCUGGUGACACUGAAGCCCCACCAGGUGGCAGAAAUUAACUGCUUGUUGACCAUAAGCAGGUAGAUGGCCGAACAGCUGGAACCAGAAGUUCAGCUCAGUCGCUCAGUCGUGUCCGACUCUUUGCAACCCCAUGAAUCACAGCACGCCAGGCCUCCCUGUCCAUCACUAACUCCCGGAGUUCACUCACACUCAC